rnacentral:rRNA from 1 species
UACGUAGGGUGCAAGCGUUAAUCGGAAUUACUGGGCGUAAAGCGUGCGCAGGCGGUUAUGUAAGACAGAUGUGAAAUCCCCGGGCUCAACCUGGGAACUGCAUUUGUGACUGCAUAGCUAGAGUACGGUAGAGGGGGAUGGAAUUCCGCGUGUAGCAGUGAAAUGCGUAGAUAUGCGGAGGAACACCGAUGGCGAAGGCAAUCCCCCUGGACCUGUACUGACGCUCAUGCACGAAAGCGUGGGGAGCAAACAGG